rnacentral:rRNA from 1 species
AGGGUUUGAUUCUGGCUCAGGACGAACGCUGGCGGCGCGCCUAACACAUGCAAGUCGAACGGAGCUGUUUUCUCUGAAGUUUUCGGAUGGAAGAGAGUUCAGCUUAGUGGCGAACGGGUGAGUAACACGUGAGCAACCUGCCUUUCAGUGGGGGACAACAUUUGGAAACGAAUGCUAAUACCGCAUAAGACCACAGUGUCGCAUGGCACAGGGGUCAAAGGAUUUAUCCGCUGAAAGAUGGGCUCGCGUCCGAUUAGCUAGAUGGUGAGGUAACGGCCCACCAUGGCGACGAUCGGUAGCCGGACUGAGAGGUUGAACGGCCACAUUGGGACUGAGACACGGCCCAG